rnacentral:rRNA from 1 species
CGCUGAACUUAAGCAUAUCAUUAAGCGGAGGAAAAGAAACUAACAAGGAUUCCCCUAGUAACGGCGAGUGAAGCGGGAAGAGCUCAAGCUUAAAAUCUCCAUACUUGUAUGGCGAAUUGUAGUCUAUUGAGGCUGUUGUCAGCAUCGCGAUCGGGGACAAGUCCCUUGGAAAAGGGCAGCAUGGAGGGUGAUACUCCCGUCUCUGCUCCGAUUUGCGAUGUGUACGAUACGCUUUCUUUGAGUCGAGUUGUUUGGGAAUACAGCUCAAAGUAGGUGGUAAAUUCCAUCUAAAGCUAAAUAUUGGUGCGAGACCGAUAGCGAACAAGUACCGUGAGGGAAAGAUGAAAAGAACUUUGAAAAGAGAGUUAAAGAGUACCUGAAACUGCUGAAAGGGAACCGUAUCGUUUCCAGUGUUGUAUCCCAUGCAUAUUUCAUUCGCGGAGCAAUUUGCGGGUGCCCUGUGCAUGGGUGUGACGUCAGGGUCAGUUUGUAUGCUGCGGGAGAUGGUCAGUGAGGAGGUGCGUCACUUCGGUGAAAGUUAUAUCUCGCUGUCUAGUAGCCGCGGUUGAGACUGAGGUGCCUACAACAUGCUUUGGGGUUCCGUGUUGUCUCGUGUUAGUGACUGUUUGGAUAGCUUGCUAUGUCUGUGGUUUACUAGUGCGAUCGAUGAUGCGGACAACCUCUUGCUGUUCGGGACCCUGGCGAAAUGGAGCGAUACGACCCGUCUUGAAACACGGACCAAGGAGUCUAACAUGUGUGCAAGUAUAGGGCGUGGAAACCCAAAUGCGUAAUGAAAGUAAGGCUGCGCAUGCAGCUGAGGUAGGAAGGGGCUGUCAAGGUCCUGGC